UUGAAGAUUCUAUUUCCCCACGAUGUCCA
rnacentral:piRNA from 1 species